AGUGAGCUCUCUUCAGUCCUGUGACCUGACAGACCCAGAGGGGCCAUCACAUCACAUUUAGAAGCUCCCCUAAUGGAGCCACAACACAUGUCCAAUACUUAGUCUGUCUUGUUGGACCAACUGGAAGAAAUGAUUCAAGGACUUAGUCACAGAACAGAGAUUUCAAAUCUCCAAAAUCCAACUGGCUGCAUCAGGACAUAUAGUCUGAAAACUCUGCACAGUUUCCUGUUUGAAGCUGCUUCCUGUUGGCUUCAGCUGUUUGGAGUUUCCAUUUUCUAAACUUCUACAUUCUGAACCUUCUUCAGCUCUGAACAGAUGAUGAAACACUGAAUGAUUUCAAGCUCACACUUUGUCUAAUAAACUUACAUCUUUCAUUCUUUAUACAGAUUGAGAAGCUGUGGUUUGUCGAAGAUCAGCUGUGAUUAUCUGGCAGCAGCGCUGAAGUCCAACCCCUCCCAUCUGAGAGAGCUAAACCUGUGGUUAAACAAGCUGCAGGAUCCAGAUGUGAAGCAGCUGUCUGACCUUCAGCAGAGUCCAGACUACAGACUGGAGACUCUGAGGUGGAGCUGAUGAUGGUAAACAGGACGGUGAGAGAGGAUGAGCUGUGUCCCGAUUUGAUUUUUUAUUUGUAUUUUUUAAUGAAAUAUAUGAUAUAUACUCUCAUAUAUACUAUGUUAUCAUAUAUACUUGUAUACACCAUACAUAUACAUACACCUGAGUGUUUUAUAUGAUGGAAUCACUGAGCAUUUAACCUACAUGCUGAAAUCACAAGACCCAAAGGUCAAAUAUGGAAGUCCUAGUACAAUAAUAUUUGACCCAAAGGUCAAAUAUUAUCUACAAUUAUAUUAAUAAAACUUUGUGCCAUUUGCUUUGUGAACACAUGUUGAUCAAUACUGUUUGAAACAAUGUGUUAAGGCAAGCAGUGACUAGCCCAAACAUGGGGUUAAUUCAACUUGCCAAUGCUAAAGUAUGGGACCUCUUUUCUCUGCACUCAUUUGUGCUUAUCUAUUUUGGCCCCACUGGGUAUGCACCUGGGGUGCUGUUUUCUCACCUCAACCACCAGUAGGUGAGAAAAUUUCUUUCUUAGCAUAGAUAGCAGUUUACUUCAGGUAAGCGCACCUAACAAAAUUGUCGAAUUGAUUAACUUGAAUUGACACUGCAACCUUCCACGCCAUUCAAGUCACCAUGUGUCCACCCAACGCGUAGUUACGUUUGUCAGGAGGUGAACGUCAGGUCACGUGGAAGGUUACGGCGUAAGUUACUCAGAUUACUCACAGAAGUCUAAAUCAACCGUCAGUCUGAGUCGAGUCAGCCGAGGUUCAGAACAGUGGAUCCUCACAUCGCUCAUUCAGAGACUUCCUCAGGUGUUUGUGUGAGUACAGAGAGACACAGCUCUGCUUUAUUCAUAAUAAAUGGGCCUACAAUCAUUUUAUAGCACAAUCAAAUGUACGAGUGUCAUGUGACCUGGGGGAGAAAGAUAUAGAAGUCCUCCCUGACUGCGUCUACAUCACAGCUCAGAGGUUCAAAGAUCUUAAUGUCCAGCUUUAUGUGAUUAAAUAUGAUCAGAGUGCUGAAACAGAACUUUUCUCUGUUUCCUAAUAAUAAAGAAUUUUUAUUGUUAA